GAUGAACGCUGGCGGCGUGCCUAAUACAUGCAAGUCGAGCGAACAGACGAGGAGCUUGCUCCUCUGACGUUAGCGGCGGACGGGUGAGUAACACGUGGAUAACCUACCUAUAAGACUGGGAUAACUUCGGGAAACCGGAGCUAAUACCGGAUAACAUGUUGAACCGCAUGGUUCAACAGUGAAAGACGGUCUUGCUGUCACUUAUAGAUGGAUCCGCGCCGCAUUAGCUAGUUGGUAAGGUAACGGCUUACCAAGGCAACGAUGCGUAGCCGACCUGAGAGGGUGGUCGGCCAAACUGGAACUGAGACACGGUCCAGACUCCUACGGGAGGCAGCAGUAGGGAAUCUUCCGCAAUGGGCGAAAUCCUGACGGAGCAACGCCGCGUGAGUGAAGAAGGUCUUCGGAUCGUAAAACUCUGUUAUUAGGGAAGAACAAAUGUGUAAGUAACUAUGCACGUCUUGACGGUACCUAAUCAGAAAGCCACGGCUAACUACGUG
rnacentral:rRNA from 1 species